GCUCAGGACGAACGCGGCGGCGUGCUAUACAUGCAAGUCGAGCGGACAGAAGGGAGCUUGCUCCGGAUGUAGCGGCGGACGGGUGAGUAACACGUGGGUAACUGCCUGUAAGACUGGGAUAACUCCGGGAAACCGGAGCUAAUACCGGAUAGUUCCUUGAACCGCAUGGUUCAAGGAUGAAAGACGGUUUCGGCUGUCACUUACAGAUGGACCGCGGCGCAUAGCUAGUUGGUGAGGUAACGGCUCACCAAGGCGACGAUGCGUAGCCGACCUGAGAGGGUGAUCGGCCACACUGGGACUGAGACACGGCCCAGACUCCUACGGGAGGCAGCAGUAGGGAAUCUUCCGCAAUGGACGAAAGUCUGACGGAGCAACGCCGCGUGAGUGAUGAAGGUUUCGGAUCGUAAAGCUCUGUUGUUAGGGAAGAACAAGUGCAAGAGUAACUGCUUGCACCUUGACGGUACCUAACCAGAAAGCCACGGCUAACUACGUGCCAGCAGCCGCGGUAAUACGUAGGUGGCAAGCGUUGUCCGGAAUUAUUGGGCGUAAAGGGCUCGCAGGCGGUUUCUUAAGUCUGAUGUGAAAGCCCCCGGCUCAACCGGGGAGGGUCAUUGGAAACUGGGAAACUUGAGUGCAGAAGAGGAGAGUGGAAUUCCACGUGUAGCGGUGAAAUGCGUAGAGAUGUGGAGGAACACCAGUGGCGAAGGCGACUCUCUGGUCUGUAACUGACGCUGAGGAGCGAAAGCGUGGGGAGCGAACAGGAUUAGAUACCCUGGUAGUCCACGCCGUAAACGAUGAGUGCUAAGUGUUAGGGGGUUUCCGCCCCUUAGUGCUGCAGCUAACGCAUUAAGCACUCCGCCUGGGGAGUACGGUCGCAAGACUGAAACUCAAAGGAAUUGACGGGGGCCCGCACAAGCGGUGGAGCAUGUGGUUUAAUUCGAAGCAACGCGAAGAACCUUACCAGGUCUUGACAUCCUCUGACAACCCUAGAGAUAGGGCUUUCCCUUCGGGGACAGAGUG
rnacentral:rRNA from 1 species